UGGGGAAAAUUGCACAAUGGGCGCAAGCCUGAUGCAGCCAUGCCGCGUGUAUGAAGAAGGCCUUCGGGUUGUAAAGUACUUUCAGCGGGGAGGAAGGGAGUAAAGUUAAUACCUUUGCUCAUUGACGUUACCCGCAGAAGAAGCACCGGCUAACUCCGUGCCAGCAGCCGCGGUAAUACGGAGGGUGCAAGCGUUAAUCGGAAUUACUGGGCGUAAAGCGCACGCAGGCGGUUUGUUAAGUCAGAUGUGAAAUCCCCGGGCUCAACCUGGGAACUGCAUCUGAUACUGACAAGCUUGAGUCUCGUAGAGGGGGGUAGAAUUCCAGGUGUAGCGGUGAAAUGCGUAGAGAUCUGGAGGAAUACCGGUGGCGAAGGCGGCCCCCUGGACGAAGACUGACGCUCAGGUGCGAAAGCGUGGGGAGCAAACAGG
rnacentral:rRNA from 1 species